rnacentral:rRNA from 1 species
CAGCGCGGGGCAACCUGGCGGCGAGUGGCGAACGGGUGAGUAAUACAUCGGAACGUACCCAGAAGUGGGGGAUAACGUAGCGAAAGUUACGCUAAUACCGCAUACGUUCUACGGAAGAAAGUGGGGGACCUUCGGGCCUCAUGCUUUUGGAGCGGCCGAUGUCUGAUUAGCUAGUUGGUGAGGUAAAGGCUCACCAAGGCGACGAUCAGUAGCUGGUCUGAGAGGACGACCAGCCACACUGGGACUGAGACACGGCCCAGACUCCUACGGGAGGCAGCAGUGGGGAAUUUUGGACAAUGGGCGCAAGCCUGAUCCAGCAAUGCCGCGUGAGUGAAGAAGGCCUUCGGGUUGUAAAGCUCUUUUGUCAGGGAAGAAACGGCCGAGGCUAAUACCUUUGGCUAAUGACGGUACCUGAAGAAUAAGCACCGGCUAACUACGUGCCAGCAGCCGCGGUAAUACGUAGGGUGCAAGCGUUAAUCGGAAUUACUGGGCGUAAAGCGUGCGCAGGCGGUUUUGUAAGUCUGACGUGAAAUCCCCGGGCUCAACCUGGGAAUUGCGUUGGAGACUGCAAGGCUGGAGUCUGGCAGAGGGGGGUAGAAUUCCACGUGUAGCAGUGAAAUGCGUAGAGAUGUGGAGGAACACCGAUGGCGAAGGCAGCCCCCUGGGUCAAGACUGACGCUCAUGCACGAAAGCGUGGGGAGCAAACAGGAGUAGAUACCCUGGUAGUCCACGCCCUAAACGAUGUCUACUAGUUGUCGGGUCUUAAUUGACUUGGUAACGCAGCUAACGCGUGAAGUAGACCGCCUGGGGAGUACGGUCGCAAGAUUAAAACUCAAAGGAAUUGACGGGGACCCGCACAAGCGGUG